UGCCGCGUGCAGGAAGACUGCCCUAUGGGUUGUAAACUGCUUUUAUAGAGGAAGAAACCUCCCUACGUGUAGGGAGCUGACGGUACUCUACGAAUAAGGAUCGGCUAACUCCGUGCCAGCAGCCGCGGUAAUACGGAGGAUCCAAGCGUUAUCCGGAAUCAUUGGGUUUAAAGGGUCCGUAGGCGGGCAGUUAAGUCAGUGGUGAAAGUCUUCCGCUCAACGGGAGAAUUGCCAUUGAUACUGAUUGUCUUGAGUCAUUAUGAAGUGGUUAGAAUGAGUAGUGUAGCGGUGAAAUGCAUAGAUAUUACUCAGAAUACCGAUUGCGAAGGCAGAUCACUAAUAAUGUACUGACGCUGAUGGACGAAAGCGUAGGUAGCGAACAGGAUUAGAUACCCUGGUAGUCUACGCCGUAAACGAUGGUUACUAGCUGUUUGGACGAUUGAGUCUGAGUGGCUAAGCGAAAGUGAUAAGUAACCCACCUGGGGAGUACGUUCGCAAGAAUGAAACUCA
rnacentral:rRNA from 1 species